UAAAAUGAAAUCAUUUGAUGUUUCAUUUACAAUGAAAAUUUUGUUGUUUAACCAUUUUAA
rnacentral:tRNA from 1 species